rnacentral:rRNA from 1 species
UACGUAGGGUGCGAGCGUUGUCCGGAAUUAUUGGGCGUAAAGAGCUCGUAGGCGGUCUGUCGCGUCGGUCGUGAAAACCUGCAGCUUAACUGUGGGCGUGCGGUCGAUACGGGCAUGACUGGAGUUCGGCAGGGGAGACUGGAAUUCCUGGUGUAGCGGUGAAAUGCGUAGAUAUCGAGAGGAACACCUGCGGCGAAGGCGGGUAGCUGGGCCGACACUGACGCUGAGGCGCGAAAGCUAGGGGAGCGAACGGG